AGUCUGGUGCCAGCAGCCGCGGUAAUUCCAGCUCCAAUAGCGUAUAUUAAAGUUGCUGCAGUUAAAAAGCUCGUAGUUGAAAUUUUGAUUGUAGCGGUCAGUCUCACAACAGUGAGUGCUAGAUGUGCUGUGGUCAUGUUUCGUUGGAACGUGUGUGGCAUUGAGUUGUCGUGCAUGGGAAGACGAUCGUUUACUGUGAAAAAAUUAGAGUGUUCAAAGCAGGCUUAUGCCGUUGAAUAUAUUAGCAUGGAAUAAUAAGAUAGGACCAGGGUACUAUUUUGUUGGUUUGUGCACCUUGGUAAUGAUUAAUAGGGACAGUUGGGGAUAUUCGUAUUGCGGUGUCAGAGGUGAAAUUCUUGGAUUUCCGCAAGACGAGCUACUGCGAAAGCAUUUAUCAAGGAUGUUUUCAUUAAUCAAAAACGAAAGUUAGGGGAUCGAAGAUGAUUAGAUACCAUCGUAGUCUUAACCAUAAACUAUGCCGACAAGGGAUUGGCAGGGUGUGUUUAUGCCUCUGUCAGCACCUUAGGAGAAAUCAUAAGUUUUUGGGUUCCGGGGGGAGUAUGGUCGCAAGGCUCAAACUUAAAGACAUUGACGGAAGGGCACCACCAGGAGUGGAGCCUGCGGCUUAAUUUGACCCAACACGGGAAAACUUACCAGGUCCAGACAUAGUGAGGAUUGACAGGUUGAGAGCUCUUUCUUGAUUCUAUGGGUGGUGGUGCAUGGCCGUUCUUAGUUGGUGGAGUGAUUUGUCUGGUUAAUUCCGUUAACGAACGAGACCCCCGCCUGCUAAAUAGAUGGUCUAGUGAUUUUUCACUGGAAACAUCUUCUUAGAGGGACGUGCGUUCUAUUAGACGCAGGAAGAUGGGGGCAAUAACAGGUCUGUGAUGCCCUUAGAUGUCCUGGGCCGCACGCGCGCUACACUGAUGCAUUCAACGAGUUGCCUUCACCGAGAGGUGUGGGAAAUCUUGGAAUGUGCAUCGUGAUAGGGAUAGAUUCUUGUAAUUUUUAAUCUUGAACGAGGAAUUCCUAGUAAACGCAGAUCAUCAAUCUGCAUUGAUUACGUCCCUGCCCUUUGUACACACCGCCCGUCGCACCUACCGAUUGAAUGGUCCGGUGAAGCCUCGGGGUUGUGAUGACUUUUCUUCAUUGAGAGGUCGUUGCGAGAACUUGUCUAAACCUUAUCAUUUAGAGGAAGGUGAAGUC
rnacentral:rRNA from 1 species